GACACCGAAUGAACUAAACGAUUUCGUAAGAGAUCGUAUAUAUCAUCUGAAGGCAUGCAACAAAACUAUUGCUAAUCUCUAGUUGCAUUUCCAUAGUCUAUUUUAAUUUUUGUUUUUUUCAUGUUUUCAGAACAUUUGAAAUUAUUUAUUUCUCUUAGUUUCUAGGAGGGACCACAAACAGAAAAGUUAAUAGGCCUAUUAAGGAUAUAUUGGAUGCAGUUGACGAAACACUAAAGAUUGAUGACACAGAAGCUCACAUGGCAGUGUCGAACAGAUUGAGCACAGCUCGAUUAAUGUGUCAUACACAGCAAGGAGUGACAUCCACAGGUUCAAUUGAAGUGCUUGAAGGUGAAGGGAAUGCCAUGGCUCAUAUUCAAGUUAUGAAAGCACCAAUUUGAAGAUGUCCUUUGCUUAUCGCUCAUCAUGCCAUGCUGGAACGUCUUCUGUUUUCUGGUGGGCAGCCUGGCAGCUUC